ensembl:lncRNA
GUGUUCAGUAAAUAUCAGUAUAUAAUUCAGUAAAUAUUAGUAUUGUGUUCAGUAAAUAUUAGUAUAUAAUUCAGUAAAUAUUAGUAUAUAAUUCAGUAAAUACUAGUAUUGUGUUCAGUAAAUAUUCAUAUAUAAUUCAGUAAAUAUUAGUAUAUUGUUCAGUAAAUAUUAUAUUAGAGUUCAGUAAAUAUUAGUAUAUUGUUCAGUAAAUAUUCAUAUAGAGUUCAGUAAAUAUUAGUAUAUUUUCGGUAAAUAUUAAUAUAGUAUCAAAUGAUUACGAAAAGAAAAGAAAAAUCUAGCCUAAUAUUUCUAUUGUAAGUGUGUCCUAAAGCAGGAUUUCUGUCAUUCUGAAUCGCAUAAAAGUGGGUCUGAGCGUUUUCAUUUUCUCUACAGAGUGAAUGUAGGCCUACAGCACCUCAGGAUUUCAGUUUACCUCGAGAGAAC